CCCCUAGAUGUUCUGGGCCGCACGCGCGCUACACUGAACAGUUCAACAAGUCUUAACCUUGGCCGAUAGGUCUGGGUAAUCUUUGAACGCUGUUCGUGAUUGGGAUAGACCUUUGCAAUUAUGGGUCUUCAACGAGGAAUUCCUAGUAAACGCAAGUCAUCAGCUUGCAUUGCUUACGUCCCUGCCCUUUGUACACACCGCCCGUCGCACCUACCGAUUGAAUGGUCCGGUGAAAUCUCGGGACGGCGGCUUGGUCGCUUGCGUCCGACUGCUGAAACUUGAUUAAACCAUAUCAUUUAGAGGAAGGUGAANUCGUANCA
rnacentral:rRNA from 1 species